CACUCCCACCCCUGUGAUUAUACCUUUAAUUGUUGCUUCGGCGGGACUUCGCGCCCGCCGGGGACCCAAACCUUCUGAAUUUUUUAAUAAGUAUCUUCUGAGUGGUUAAAAAAAAUGGAUGGUAACUUUCAACAGGGGAUCGCUUGGUUCGCGCAUCGCAUGAAUAACGGGUCUAAUUGCCAGGGGUAGGGUGAAUUGCAAAAUGCAGUGAAUCAUCGAAUCUUUGAACGCACAUUGCGCCCGUCAGUAUUCUGGCGGGCAUGCCUGUUCGAGCGUCAUUACGCCCCUCAAGUCCCCUGUGGGACUUGGUGUUGGGGAUCGGCGAGGCUGGUUUUCCAGCACAGCCGUCCCUUAAAUUAAUUGGCGGUCUCGCCGUGGCCCUCCUCUGCGCAGUAGUAAAGCACUCGCAACAGGAGCCCGGCGCGGUCCACUGCCGUAAAACCCCCCAACUUUUUAUAGUUGACCUCGAAUCAGGUAGGACUACCCGCUGAACUUAAGCAUAUCAAUAAGCGGAGGAA
rnacentral:rRNA from 1 species